GGAUGGUCCAGGUUUUGGAGGAAUGAAUAGAAUUGGAGGAGGUAUGUAUAAAGAUUUGUUUUUUUGUAUGUACCCAUCACCAUUUUUAAUAAACUAGAAACUGUGUUGAGAAUUCCAUGAAAAAAAAGUCAUGGUUUAUUGUUGGCUCAUGUUCUAAAGGCUGCUAGCAGAAAUUGAGCCUGGUACAUACUUAAAGGAAGGUGAUGUGUUAAGAAGUAGCUGCACAAGGUAGGGUGGAUGAAGAGCUUACUGGUGAGAUUUAACAUUUACAAAACGUACCUUUCAGCUACAUGACUGACAGUUGGAUCUCAAAAUUAAUCUUUAUUCCAUAGGAAUAGGGUUUGGUGGUCUGGAAGCAAUGAAUAGCAUGGGAGGAUUUGGAGGAGUUGGCCGAAUGGGAGAGCUGUACCGUGGUGCGAUGACUAGUAGCAUGGAGCGAGAUUUUGGACGUGGUGAUAUUGGAAUAAAUCGAGGCUUUGGAGAUUCCUUUGGUAGACUUGGUGGUGGAAUGGGUAGCAUGAACAGUGUGACUGGAGGAAUGGGGAUGGGACUGGACCGGAUGAGUUCCAGCUUUGAUAGAAUGGGACCAGGUAUAGGAGCUAUACUGGAAAGGAGCAUCGAUAUGGAUCGAGGAUUUUUAUCGGGUCCAAUGGGAAGCGGAAUGAGAGAGAGAAUAGGCUCCAAAGGCAACCAGAUAUUUGUCAGAAAUCUACCUUUUGACUUGACUUGGCAGAAACUAAAAGAGAAAUUCAGUCAGUGUGGUCAUGUAAUGUUUGCAGAAAUAAAAAUGGAGAAUGGAAAGUCAAAAGGCUGUGGAACAGUCAGAUUUGACUCCCCAGAAUCAGCUGAAAAAGCCUGCAGAAUAAUGAAUGGCAUAAAAAUCAGUGGCAGAGAAAUUGAUGUUCGCUUGGAUCGUAAUGCAUAAUUUCAAGCCAUGGUUGGAACAUUCCUACAUCUGUUUUGCUGAAUCUCCUAGUAAAAGUCAUUUUUUUAAAGUAAUAUUGUAUGCUUACAAAAGCUGUAAAAAUGAACUUUUAAAACUCCCACCAGCUUUUAACAGUAUAAUGUUAAAAAUAUACUGUAAUUUUUGUUAAUCUCAAGUUUGGGUUUUUAAAGACAGCAAGUCUGGUCAUUCAGUUUAAAUGAAUGGUUAUACUGUUUUUAAUGAAAUAAGCCAUUUUCUUGUUGUUUUCAGUACUACAUAGUUGGAUUUGUUUGUUCUAGUUUCUCCAGUUUUUGUCAACUUAUUGUAUGGUAAAACAUAGAUUUUUUCCCCCCAAACUUCUGUUUUAUAAUAUGUAAUUUUUCAUGAAAAGAAAGGGCUCAGAAAAAUUAGGAUGUGAUUUUGGUUGGUUUUAAAUUACUGUAAGUUUUAGAUUCUAAGGUUCAAGAUUUUUAAAAUUUGAUUUAAAUGAAGAAAUGGAUUUUUCUCUCUGCCCCUCCCUGCCAUUCAUAUUUUCUGCAUAACACUAUUAAUAAUAUCAACCUCCACAGCCCCUUAUUUUAUUAUUUCCAAUAAUUCCAAGUUCAUAUAGAACUGAUAAUGUAGCAAGCCCCAAGUAUGAUAAUAGGCAGACUAUUCCCAACUUUCUGUCUAGUUUCCAGCCAUUGAAGUGAACUGCUAAAAAAAGAAAAAUAAUUGAAAUGUUGAGAGAGAUGGUUAUGUAAGUUAGUCCUCUGCUGUUUACUUCUGCAGGAGCUGAUCCAUUUAUAAAUGCAGUUUUAAUAAACCAUGGAAUACCAAGGCACAACAUAUCAAACACAUUGGAUCCCACGAUGUUAGACAUAGCCAUAUCUCCUUUCCCUACAAAAGAAAAGCAUACUGUUAAAAUGUGCUUACCAAUACUGUGUUUUAUUAAUAAUCUUCAUAAGAAAAGAAACACUGGAUACUUUUUUGUUGUUGAUUCGUUUUGAAAAAUUGUUGUUAGAGCAAAAGUCUUACUGAAUUUGUAUUUUUAAAUUUUUCUUGGGUUAGUAUUUAAAGUCUUAACAUUUAUUUAAUAAUUAUAUUUAUUAAACCAUUUUUCAAUAAGGUAU
rnacentral:lncRNA from 1 species